AGACGUCUACAUUAGAUACCCCGGGUCCAGGGUGUAAACGCUGCAGACUUGGUGUUGGAAGUCCUUUGGGGGCAUUCAGUGCCGGAGAGAAGUUGUUAAGUCUGCUACUUGGGGAGUACGUCCGCAAGGAUGAAACUUAAAGGAAUUGGCGGGGGAGCACCGCAACGGGAGGAGCGUGCGGUUUAAUUGGAUUCAACACCGUAAACUCACCAGGGAAGACUGUUACAUGAAAGCCGAGAUGAAGACUCUGCUAGAUUUUCAG
rnacentral:rRNA from 1 species